GGUUGACCUCGGAUCAGGUAGGAAUACCCGCUGAACUUAAGCAUAUCAAU
rnacentral:rRNA from 10 species